rnacentral:rRNA from 1 species
CCGGCUAANUCCGUGCCAGCAGCCGCGGUAAUACGGAGGGUGCAAGCGUUACUNGGAAUCACUGGGCGUAAAGGACGCGUAGGCGGAUUAUCAAGUCUNUUGUGAAAUCUAACGGCUUAACCGUUAAACUGCUUGGGAAACUGAUAAUCUAGAGUAAGGGAGAGGCAGAUGGAAUUCUUGGUGUAGGGGUAAAAUCCGUAGAUAUCAAGAAGAAUACCUAUUGCGAAGGCGAUCUGCUGGAACUUAACUGACGCUAAUGCGUGAAAGCGUGGGGAGCAAACAGGAUUAGAUACCCUGGUAGUCCACGCCCUAAACGAUGUAUACCGGUUGUUGCUGUGCUAGUCACGGCAGUAAUCCACCUAACGGAUUAAGUAUACCGCCUGGGGAGUACGGUCGCAAGAUUAAAACUCAAAGGAAUAGACGGGGACCCGCACAAGCGGUGGAGCAUGUGGUUUAAUUCGGAGAUACGCGAAGAACCUUACCCGGACUUGAUAUCUAACAAAUCAUCCAGAGAUGGAAGAGUGUCUGCUUGCAGAAAUGUUGAGACAGGUGCUGCACGGCUGUCGUCAGCUCGUGUCGUGAGAUGUUGGGUUAAGUCCCGCAACGAGCGCAACCCACGUCAUUAGUUGCUAACGGUUCGGCCGAGCACUCUAAUGAGACUGCCUUCGUAAGGAGGAGGAAGGUGUGGACGACGUCAAGUCAUCAUGGCCCUUAUGUCCGGGGCGACACACGUGCUACAAUGGCAUAUACAAUAAGACGCAUUAUCGUAAGAUGGAGCAAAUCUAAAAAAUAUGUCCCAGUUCGGAUUGGAGUCUGCAACUCGACUCCAUGAAGCCGGAAUCGCUAGUAAUCGUAGAUCAGCCAUGCUACGGUGAAUACGUUCCCGGGUCUUGUACUCACCGCCCGUCACGCCAUGGGAGUUGAUNUCACU